AACGACCGGCUGGGCAGCUAUGUGCCCGGCCCACAAGUGGAGGCUCCGAUCUCCCACCUGGCCGUCCUUCAGGGCGGCGGGUCAUCCGGUCAGGCGGUGACCAUCGUUCCGUACGGACGAUGGGGCCGCCCGAUGUGCCCCGCGGUUGACCGCGGUGGUUCCGGUUGUUCCAGGAGCCCCGCCUGUGUCCCGUCCGGGGCAUUUUUG
rnacentral:ncRNA from 1 species